rnacentral:lncRNA from 1 species
UUUUUUUUUCUUCCUUAGUUGGGCUAUUGAUGUGAUAUGUUAAUAUAAUUUAAAAUAUUAAGCCAUCUAAGUCCCUAAGAUACAUUAGACUUCCUUUCUAUAUUAUGUAUUAUCAUUUAUUUGUUUAGUUAACUGUAGAACUAAUUUCUCCCACUUUAUCUCAGUGAAUUGAAGGCUGCUUAUAAGGAUACAUAAAAUAUGAUAGGAUAGGAAAAAUUCAAAAUAGAAAAUGAUCCUUUGGGUAGGCCAGGGGGAGGUUACACAGCUAGUAAGUGGUAAAAAGCAAGCUCACACUUCAGAGCAUGUGCUCUUUCUCUACUCACUUGCUCUAUGAAUACCUGGCUUUCUGAUACUCUUCUAGCUUGACCCAAGGUAGAAUUUCAUCUGAAACAUUGCAUGGAUCUUUGUAUCUUUCAGAAACUCCUCAUCCGUACCAUUUCUCUCAACUGAGAUUUUAUGAAAGUUGGACAACAAUGGGUUUGCGUUGCAUAAUGAAUACCUAGGUUCUGAUUUUUUUCUGUGGUCAGAAACACAUCUACCUAACCCAGUAGUUUAGCUGGGGACAGACCUAUAUUCUCUCAUGAAAAUGAAGGAGCUACAGAAGGUCUGGUGCCCUAAAAAAAUGCUCCCCCUAAUAGAAAGGAGCAAGGGAGAGUUCAUGGAGGAAGAGUCAAAUUUUUCCUAACAAAGGACUUUGGGUCCCCUUUAACACAGAGAUAAAAGGGUGAGCUUUAGUUCUAGGUUUUGUUGCUUAUUAUAUCAUGGCUACAAUAUUUUUAGUCUGAAUAUUUUUAAGGCAGCAAAACCAGAUGCCUGCUUUAGUCAUGAAAAAAACAUACCAAAGAAAUCAUUGAUCCUUUAAAAAAUAUGAAGAGAAUCCCUAGCUUUGAGCUAUAUUAUUUCUGGGGCGUGCUGCUAUUCAAGGUAAAGUAUGUGUGUAAGGUACCUCUAGGUAACUGAAUAAGUUCACUUGCAAGGGAUCAUUAUUUUAAAUUUGUUAAGUAUUGGGGAAGACUUCCAUAAUUAUUAAUGUCAUUUCAGAAUAAUUUAUCUUUAACACUUCUGUGGUGGCAAUAAUUAAGGAGCAAGGUCAGUUGUUUUUAUAAAGUCACUGUUUGAGAUAAAAUCAGUUUUAGUAUUUGCACAUGAAAGGAUGCUUGUCUUUCUUUUAUCUAUUACAUACAGUUCAUCCCGAAUUGGUAUAUUAUUAAAAACAAGUUAAAAAGCAACCCUGUUUUAUCCUGUUGGAAAAAUUUAACCCUCUGUGAGAGGGCCAUUUUUCUGAAUAUGACUUUCUGGUAAUUAGCAUGGGGUAGAUUCUUCAAUGGGGCAAGGCUAUGUGAGUUUAGCUAGCCCAGAACCAGUUCCCAUCUGUGGAAUCAUAAGCCAGGGCAUGGAAUAAUGACUAUAGUAGUCUAAUAUUGGCCCUAGAGACUGUUUCUCAAGGUAGGAAAGCAUAUAACAAAGGUUUGAGGUCAAAGUUACACCUAAAAAGACAUCUAUUUUUAGAGGGACCAUCGUACGCCACCUUUGAAAGCUGUCUUUGUAGUUUUGAAGGGUGGCCAAUGGAAGAAAAUAUAAAAUACUAGUCUCUUCAAAUGUCUGCUGAAGUUAGAAUCUGUGCCAAAUGAAAUCUGUUAAGAAGUAAGUUCACUGGAAAAAAAUUUAAAUAUCAACUUUGAUGAAAGAGUUGUAUUAACUUUUUGAUAUUGUCCUAUUACCAAAUGUGUUGGCAAAUUGAAUUUUUAGAAAUGUUAAAAACAUUUUAAUCAAAAUUUCAAAUUAAAAUAUUCAUUUUGUAAGAUUUAAAGGUUUUAAAAUAUUUUACAAACUCCUCUUUGAUUUGUUUUCAGAUUUUCAACAUCCUACAUCUGAGAUCCAACAUUUUCUACUAUUUAUACAGAUUAUGUGGACAAAUUAGUGUGAUGUAAUGUUAAAUUUUUUUAAAAAGUAGGAUCCAACAUUUUCUUCUUAUUAUUAUAUAUAGAAUAUACAUUAAAAUAAUUGUUAGGGGACGCCUGGGUGGCUCAGUGGUUGAGCGUGUGUGCCUUUGACUCAGGGUGUGAUCCUGGGGUCCUGGGAUCGAGUCCUGCAUCAGGCUCCCCAGAGGGAUCCAAUGUGGGACUCAAUCCAGGGACUUCAGGAUCAUGCCCUGAGCCAAAGGCAGACACUCAACCACUGAGCCAUCCAGGCGUCCCUGAAAAAUCUUUUGUUAAAAAGACCAUUUCUCCCCAUUGAGUGGUCUUGGCACCCUUGUCAAAAAACAAGCAUUUGCUUUUAGUUCUUCAGGUCAUAAUCCUGGGGUGCUGGGAUCAAACCUUGCAUCAGGCUCAAUGGGGAGCCUGCUUCUCCUUCUCCCUCUGCCCUUUCCCUGCCCCCUGACAAGUGCUCACUCUCUCUCUCUCUCAAACAAAUAAAAUCUUCAAAAAUUAAAAUAAAAAUAAAUUGGCCAUACAUGCAUUUUUUGUUUUUAAAAAUUUUUGUCUCUCAAUUCAAUUCCAUUGACUUAUUUGACUAUCCUUAUAGCAGUACCACUUUGUUUUGUUUACUAUCGUUUUGUAAUUGUUUUUGAAACUGAAACUAGUUAAGUCCUACUUUGAACUUCUUUUUAAGAAUGGUAUUGGCUAUUCCUGGUCCCUUGCAAUUCCAUAUAAAUUUUAUUUUCAGUUUGUUAAUUUCUAAAAAGUCAGACAGGAUUCUGAUAGGGAUUAUGUUGAAUCUGUAGAUCAGUUUGGAGAGAAUUGCCAUCUUGACAAAGUUUUUUGAUCCAUGAAAAUAGGUUGGUUUUCCAUUUAUUUACAUUUUCCUUAAUUUCUUACAGCAUUGUUUUUAGUUUUCAGAGUAUGUAUUUUGCACUUAUUUUGUUAAAUUUAUUCCUAAGUAUUUUAUUCUUAGGAACAUAUAUAGACUUUGGACUAGGUCUCCAUUCUUUUUUUUUUUUUUUUCCCAGAGGGAGAGCAUGUGAGUGGGGUAGGGCAGAAGAAGGAGAGAGAGAAUCCCAAGCACACUCCACACUAAGCAUAGGCUCCAUCCCAUGACCUGGAGAUCAUUCAUGACCUGAGCCAAAAUCAAGGGUUGACACUUGACCGAGCUACCCAGGUGCUCUUCUUUUUGUCUUUAUAGACUUUAUUGUGUGUGUAGUUUUAGAGAUUCACAGCAAAACUGAGUGGAAAAUACAGAUUUCUCAUCUACUCUCUGCCUGUACACAUGCAUAGCCUUUCCCAUUAUCAACAUUCCCCAAUGAAGUGAUACAUUUGUUACAACUGAUGAACCUAUGUUGACGCAUCA